CGGGACACGUGGUAUCCUGUCUGAAUAUGGGGGGACCAUCCUCCAAGGCUAAAUACUCCUGACUGACCGAUAGUGAACCAGUACCGUGAGGGAAAGGCGAAAAGAACCCCGGCGAGGGGAGUGAAAAAGAACCUGAAACCGUGUACGUACAAGCAGUGGGAGCACGCUUAGGCGUGUGACUGCGUACCUUUUGUAUAAUGGGUCAGCGACUUAUAUUCUGUAGCAAGGUUAACCGAAUAGGGGAGCCGAAGGGAAACCGAGUCUUAACUGGGCGUUAAGUUGCAGGGUAUAGACCCGAAACCCGGUGAUCUAGCCAUGGGCAGGUUGAAGGUUGGGUAACACUAACUGGAGGACCGAACCGACUAAUGUUGAAAAAUUAGCGGAUGACUUGUGGCUGGGGGUGAAAGGCCAAUCAAACCGGGAGAUAGCUGGUUCUCCCCGAAAGCUAUUUAGGUAGCGCCUCGUGAAUUCAUCUCCGGGGGUAGAGCACUGUUUCGGCAAGGGGGUCAUCCCGACUUACCAACCCGAUGCAAACUGCGAAUACCGGAGAAUGUUAUCACGGGAGACACACGGCGGGUGCUAACGUCCGUCGUGAAGAGGGAAACAACCCAGACCGCCAGCUAAGGUCCCAAAGUCAUGGUUAAGUGGGAAACGAUGUGGGAAGGCCCAGACAGCCAGGAUGUUGGCUUAGAAGCAGCCAUCAUUUAAAGAAAGCGUAAUAGCUCACUGGUCGAGUCGGCCUGCGCGGAAGAUGUAACGGGGCUAAACCAUGCACCGAAGCUGCGGCAGCGACGCUGAUGCGUUGUUGGGUAGGGGAGCGUUCUGUAAGCCUGUGAAGGUGUGCUGUGAGGCAUGCUGGAGGUAUCAGAAGUGCGAAUGCUGACAUAAGUAACGAUAAAGCGGGUGAAAAGCCCGCUCGCCGGAAGACCAAGGGUUCCUGUCCAACGUUAAUCGGGGCAGGGUGAGUCGACCCCUAAGGCGAGGCCGAAAGGCGUAGUCGAUGGGAAACAGGUUAAUAUUCCUGUACUUGGUGUUACUGCGAAGGGGGGACGGAGAAGGCUAUGUUGGCCGGGCGACGGUUGUCCCGGUUUAAGCGUGUAGGCUGGUUUUCCAGGCAAAUCCGGAAAAUCAAGGCUGAGGCGUGAUGACGAGGCACUACGGUGCUGAAGCAACAAAUGCCCUGCUUCCAGGAAAAGCCUCUAAGCAUCAGGUAACAUCAAAUCGUACCCCAAACCGACACAGGUGGUCAGGUAGAGAAUACCAAGGCGCUUGAGAGAACUCGGGUGAAGGAACUAGGCAAAAUGGUGCCGUAACUUCGGGAGAAGGCACGCUGAUAUGUAGGUGAAGCGACUUGCUCGUGGAGCUGAAAUCAGUCGAAGAUACCAGCUGGCUGCAACUGUUUAUUAAAAACACAGCACUGUGCAAACACGAAAGUGGACGUAUACGGUGUGACGCCUGCCCGGUGCCGGAAGGUUAAUUGAUGGGGUCAGCGCAAGCGAAGCUCUUGAUCGAAGCCCCGGUAAACGGCGGCCGUAACUAUAACGGUCCUAAGGUAGCGAAAUUCCUUGUCGGGUAAGUUCCGACCUGCACGAAUGGCGUAAUGAUGGCCAGGCUGUCUCCACCCGAGACUCAGUGAAAUUGAACUCGCUGUGAAGAUGCAGUGUACCCGCGGCAAGACGGAAAGACCCCGUGAACCUUUACUAUAGCUUGACACUGAACAUUGAGCCUUGAUGUGUAGGAUAGGUGGGAGGCUUUGAAGUGUGGACGCCAGUCUGCAUGGAGCCGGCCUUGAAAUACCACCCUUUAAUGUUUGAUGUUCUAAC
rnacentral:rRNA from 1 species